AAGAGACGUUGCCCUUCGGGGUAUACCUCCCACCCUUUGUUUAUUAUACCUUUGUUGCUUUGGCGGGCCCGUCCUCGGACCACCGGCUUCUGCUGGUCAGUGCCCGCCAGAGGACCUAAAACUCUGUUUGUUAAUAUUGUCUGAGUACUAUAUAAUAGUUUA
rnacentral:misc_RNA from 1 species